UUCAGAGACUAAGCGAAAGUGAUAAGUUAGCCACUGGGGAGUACGUUCGCAAGAAUGAAACUCAAAGGAAUUGACGGGGGCCCGCACAAGCGGUGGAUUAUGUGGUUUAAUUCGAUGAUACGCGAGGAACCUUACCAAGGCUUAAAUGGGAAAUGACAGGUUUAGAAAUAGACUUUUCUUCGGACAUUUUUCAAGGUGCUGCAUGGUUGUCGUCAGCUCGUGCCGUGAGGUGUUAGGUUAAGUCCUGCAACGAGCGCAACCCCUGUCACUAGUUGCCAUCAUUAAGUUGGGGACUCUAGUGAGACUGCCUACGCAAGUAGAGAGGAAGGUGGGGAUGACGUCAAAUCAUCACGGCCCUUACGCCUUGGGCCACACACGUAAUACAAUGGCCGGUACAGAGGGCAGCUACACAGCGAUGUGAUGCAAAUCUCGAAAGCCGGUCUCAGUUCGGAUUGGAGUCUGCAACUCGACUCUAUGAAGCUGGAAUCGCUAGUAAUCGCGCAUCAGCCAUGGCGCGGUGAAUACGUUCCCGGGCCUUGUACACACCGCCCGUCAAGCCAUGGAAGUCUGGGGUACCUGAAGUCGGUGACCGUAACGAGGAGCUGCCUAGGGUAAAACAG
rnacentral:rRNA from 1 species